UUUAAACCCGACAGCACCCACUUAUUUAACACCUUCUUAUCCGCCUGGCCCCUGUCUGCUCGGUUUUGGGUUGGGGUGACCGCGNAGCAUAAAAUANCCUCCNCGAAAGAAGGGAUGAUUCCCUCAUUUUAGAACUACACUUCCNAAGACUAACAAAUUAAUUUUAAGUGAUCCGAUACCCGUAUUCGAUCAACGAACCAAGUUACCCUGGGGAUAACAGCGCAAUCUACCUCAAGAGCCCCUAUCGACAGGUGGGUUUACNACCUCGAUGUUGGAUCAGGGUAUCCCAGNGGUGCAGCAGCUACCAAAGGUUCGUUUGUUCAACGAUUAAAACCCU
rnacentral:rRNA from 1 species